ensembl:lncRNA
AGCCUGACCCUCUCCCUGCUCGGCUGUGAUGGAAAAUCCAGGGAGUUGAGCAACGACCUUUCUGACUCCAAAGAGAGCAGCCAACUCCCCUCACGACUUUCCCUCCGGUCCUGAUAUGGGAGCCGCUCAGAGCUGUUUCCUCCUGCCUCUCCCACCUUGGGGCCCCCGAGCCAGGAGUUUGGCAGUACCUCUCGGCCCCCAAGAAAGUCCUGGUAAGGCUGCUGUCCUUACUGCAGACCCUGCCCUUCCCUCCAAGGCUGGUAAGCAGAGAUCUAUGGACAUUCUGUGUGGCCAAUUGGAUGUAGAUUUCUCUGGAAGCUCACAUGACACUGUUCCAGCCCAGAAUUGUAAAGUUGUAUUGCUAAAAUUAUUACUGAGUGUCCUACCCUGUGGCCAGGACUAAACUCUUCCCUUUGGGGACACAGAGACGGAGCUGGGGGAAAGCUAGAGAAUCACCAGAUAAAUCAUUUUAGAUGAAAAAAGAUUGUAAUCAUUCAUGAAAUGGGAUCCUUUUUCGUUGCUAAUAUUUCUACAGAACGUCUCUGGAGGAAUAUGUAUAUAUACACACAUAUACAGAUACAUACAGAUGUGAGAGUAGAGGUGAUUUUUCUUCUUUGGACUUGGUAAAACUUGUUGAAAUGACCAUCUGUAACUCUUAGAAGAUGAAUAAUUCAGAAUAUCAAUAUGAACACAGAUUUCUACAAUUGAAGACGGAAAAUGCCCAACUUCUCUGCAGCAAUAAACAGCGAAGCCAAAAAUAGCCAUCUAAUGACGUUAGAGGAGCAAGGUCAUCUGAAAAUUGCCCAUGGCCACUGGACACCUCCCUAUAGGAUCAAGUAGCAGGAGGGUACCCCAGGCUGGUGCAGCUGUUCCAAGAACAGGAAACAGCCCAGGAGCAGACUUGGAAGCACCACCUCAUGAUGGCAGGGCCCUCGUGAAGGGGGCAGGGGACAAAUGCCAACACUCAAAGGAGAAGCAAGGCCCAAGUGUGAGCGCAGACCCUGUAGAAGAGAACUGGACUUUGUCUGCACUGGAAGUCACCCCCGUCACACGAUCCCAGGAAAUGGCUCAAAAAGCGGGGAAUGCAUGUUCUGUCCUGGUGCACCUGACGGCUUCCUGGCCCCCCACUAUGCUAUUUAUAACGCCGCGGGGGCUGGGGGCGUCUGCUGAACUGGGUUACCAUACAAGCUGGGGUGCAUGGCACGUUCUGAGAGGCUGCCGGGAGAAGAGGGCCCCGCCUGGGAUGGCGAGGGGGCGUCCAAAUAAAGGAUGAGGAGUGGGCCGGGGCAAAGCCCCUCUGGCUGCAGUCCCCUGGCACUCUGACCACCUUGGCUUUCAUCCAGGCCUGCCGAGGCUUGUGACCUGA